rnacentral:lncRNA from 1 species
GGCAUAAAAAUAAUAGACUAAUUGGAUAGCAAUUGAGUUGCUGACUGCGAGCACUACAAUAGAAUUAGGUUAUAGCGACACAUAUUUGUGACAUUUUUGUAUAAGUGUUUCAUUUAUACUAAAAUUUUUAAAAAAAUCUAUUAAUGCCUAAAUAAAAAGUCCAAUCCAACAAAAAAUAAAAGGUUACUCUACUCAACCCAUCCCACCUAGCCCAUUCGGCCCGAUUACAAACAGAAAAAAAAAGAAAAAAGAAAAAUCGAUUACCAUCUCCCCUUCUUCCCUUCUUUCCUUACUCAAUUUACUGAAAUCCUAAACGAAAAGCCCUUCCUUCUCCUCAUCCUCCGCCACCGCAGCCAACGAGGUAAAGUUCCGGCGGUUGUUAAAUACUUAAAUAAGUGUUAGUAAAUUAGCAGCACUUUUUUUGGCUUAUACCGAUACUCUUUAACAAUCACUAUAUACCUAGCGACUCCACAUAUAGCAACACUUUUUAAAAGUGUAGGUAAUUUAGCCAGCAGCACCUUUUUUUGACCUGUACCGAUAUUUAAAAGUGUCGUUAUAGACCGUUUUUGUUGUAGUGGAGCUCUACUUUUGGCCAGAAAAAGAAAACAAAUAC